rfam:Homo sapiens chromosome 7, GRCh38 reference primary assembly.
GCCGGGUGUGGUGGCGUGUGCCUGUAAUCCCAGCUACUCAGGAGGCUGAGGCUGGAUAAUUGCUUGAACCCGGGAGGCGGAGGUUGCAGUGAGCUGAGAUCGCACCACUGCACUCCAGCCUGGGUGACAGAGUGAGACCCUGUCUCAA